GGGGAUGUAGCUCAGCCGGGAUGAGCGUUCGCCUCACACGCGAGAGGUCAUGGGUUCGAGCCCCAUCGUCCCCA
rnacentral:tRNA from 1 species